rnacentral:rRNA from 1 species
CCUACGGGUGGCAGCAGUGAGGAAUAUUGGUCAAUGGGCGUAAGCCUGAACCAGCCAAGCCGCGUGAGGGAUGAAGGUUCUAUGAAUCGUAAACCUCUUUUGUAAGGGAGUAAAGUCCGUGACGUGUCCCGUUGUGAAUGUACCGUAUGAGUAAGGAUCGGCUAACUCCGUGCCAGCAGCCGCGGUAAUACGGAGGAUACGAGCGUUGUCCGGAUUUAUUGGGUUUAAAGGGUGCGUAGGCGGUAUGUUAAGUCAGCGGUGAAAUCCCGGGGCUCAACCCGAGAAUUGCCGUUGAUACUGGGAGGCUGGAGUAUGUUGGAGGCAGGCGGAAUGCGAGGUGUAGCGGUGAAAUGCGUAGAUAUCAGGCAGAACACCGAUUGCGAAGGCAGCUUGC